rnacentral:lncRNA from 1 species
AUGGUUGAUCAACGAUAAAGAAUCGUUCUAGGGUUAAAUGAUCAAUACGAUUGACAUUUAACCCAGUGCAAGUGUUGCAGGAGGAUCGAUUAGCAAUUUGAUUGCUAAUUGGCUUAAUUUGAUUAAGCCAAUGAGCUAAGAUUAAGUCUAAUUAAAUAUAAUUUAAUUAAAUUUAGUUUGGGCUUGAUUGGAUCAAGUCCAAUUGGUUUAUUGGAUAAGCCAAGUGCAAGAAAAAACUAGUCCUAGUUCAACAAGGACUUGGGUCAAUCUAAUUUCUAAUUUGAUUAGA